UACAGAGGGGGCAAGCGUUGUUCGGAUUCAUUGGGCGUAAAGGGUGCGUAGGUGGCGGGGUAAGUCUGGUGUGAAAUCUCGGGGCUCAACCCCGAAACUGCACUGGAUACUGACUUGCUCGAGUACUGGAGAGGAGAUUGGAAUUUACGGUGUAGCAGUGAAAUGCGUAGAUAUCGUAAGGAAGACCAGUGGCGAAGGCGAAUCUCUGGACAGUUACUGACACUGAGGCACGAAGGCCAGGGGAGCAAACGGG
rnacentral:rRNA from 1 species